rnacentral:rRNA from 1 species
UACAGAGGGGGCAAGCGUUGUUCGGAAUUACUGGGCGUAAAGGGCGCGUAGGCGGCCUGUUAAGUCAGACGUGAAAUCCCUCGGCUCAACCGGGGAACUGCGUCUGAUACUGGCGGGCUUGAAUUCGGGAGAGGGAUGUGGAAUUCCAGGUGUAGCGGUGAAAUGCGUAGAUAUCUGGAGGAACACCGGUGGCGAAGGCGGCAUCCUGGACCGACAUUGACGCUGAGGCGCUAAAGCCAGGGGAGCAAACGGG